rnacentral:piRNA from 1 species
UGGGAAAAGAAUGGAAAUUCCGGUGCUCUC